ncrna:Streptomyces sp. CcalMP-8W nrdJ RNA
ACCUGUUCCCGUGGCCGAGCGCGGCCCCGGGGCAACGGACACACAUUGUGCCUGGGAAGAACUGGGCACUUCAGGGCGUU